rnacentral:rRNA from 1 species
AACGAACGCUGGCGGCGCGCCUAAUACAUGCAAGUCGAGCGAGAAGACGCAGCAAUACGUUUGUAAAGCGGCGAACGGGUGAGGAAUACAUGGGUAACCUACCCUCGAGUGGGGAAUAACUAGCCGAAAGGUUAGCUAAUACCGCGUACGCUCCUUGGACUUCGGUUCAGGGAGGAAAGCGAUACCGUGGGUAUCGCGCUCUUGGAUGGGCUCAUGUCCUAUCAGCUUGUUGGUGAGGUAACGGCUCACCAAGGCUUCGACGGGUAGCUGGUCUGAGAGGACGAUCAGCCACACUGGCACUGCGACACGGGCCAGACUCCUACGGGAGGCAGCAGUAAGGAAUAUUGCGCAAUGGGCGAAAGCCUGACGCAGCGACGCCGCGUGGGGGAUGAAGGUCUUCGGAUUGUAAACCCCUUUCGGGAGGGAAGAUGGAACGAGCAAUCGUUCGGACGGUACCUCCAGAAGCAGCCACGGCUAACUUCGUGCCAGCAGCCGCAGU